rnacentral:rRNA from 1 species
AUGCGUUGGGAAGGGAUGGCGCUCUCGCGUCCGCGCAAGUUGCGGCUGGGCGGGCGCCGCCGUCGCCCGGACCUCCGGCCUCCGUCCUCCGUUGCGGCCGCCGUGACCGGAUCCGGGUACCCCGCGAAGACCUCUCCCACGCCAGUCUCGGCGGCGCCCCGUCUCUCGGUUCGCCCUGCAAUGCUGCUCACCCGAGCCUCCGCGGCGGCCACCACUCCAUCGUCUCCGGCUGCUGCACCCGUCGUCCUUCCGCCGUCUGCGUCGUGCGCUCAGGCUGCAGGCACUACCCCGGUCGCCGGUGUUCUCCCUCGACCGCGGCCGCUGCCCCCAGCUUCCAGGUUCAGGAGGGAGGACGGGGGUCUUAAGGCUGCGUGCACGCCCUGUUCGGAGCCUGUGUCGACAACUGCUUCGGUCGCGACGCCUGGCUCCCCUGUCCUUGCCGAUGCCGCCUCGGAUGUGUUGCUGCCGGCCCCUGUUGCCUCUGUCAAUGGGGACGACGUAGGCUGUGAAGAGGAAAUGGCCGUGACGCUGCCACCACGGGCGGUGUUGUGGGCCUCCGCUGCUGACGACGAUGACGAUGAAGAUGACGAAGAGGAGUUGGCUCCCCAGACACCGCCGGCUGCCACCAAGGCCCUUGACUCUGGAGGGAUGUGCGUGGGGCAUGACGCAGACACAAACGAGGGUUGGCAGGAGGUGCUACCGCGGCGCGGCCUGCGUCGUCCGACUUCGUCGCCUUCCUCGACAAUGGCUCCUCGCCCAUCCCCGCUUGGCUUCGCGGUAGAUGUUACAGAUGCUUCGCUCAUGGUCAUCGCGCGGCUGUUUGCAAAGAGCCGUUGCGGUGCUCCCGUUGUUUGGAGAACGGUCAUCGUGCGCGUGGAUGUUGCAAUCCAUGGCGUCCUCUAA